rnacentral:rRNA from 1 species
UGCCAGACUCCUACGGGAGGCAGCAGUGGGGAAUAUUGCACAAUGGGGGAAACCCUGAUGCAGCAACGCCGCGUGAGUGAAGAAGUAUUUCGGUAUGUAAAGCUCUAUCAGCAGGGAAGAAGAUGACGGUACCUGAGUAAGAAGCCCCGGCUAACUACGUGCCAGCAGCCGCGGUAAUACGUAGGGGGCAAGCGUUAUCCGGAUUUACUGGGUGUAAAGGGAGCGUAGACGGUGAGACAAGUCUGAAGUGAAAGCCCGGGGCUCAACCCCGGGACUGCUUUGGAAACUGCCUGACUGGAGUGCUGGAGAGGCAAGCGGAAUUCCUAGUGUAGCGGUGAAAUGCGUAGAUAUUAGGAAGAACACCAGUGGCGAAGGCGGCUUGCUGGACAGUAACUGACGUUGAGGCUCGAAAGCGUGGGGAGCAAACAGGAUUAGAUACCCGUGUAC